UUAUUUCAUCAUCUCGUUUUCACUUCCUUGCAGCGAAAGAUGGUUGUCAAAGCAGCGUUCGCAGUUGCCAUGUUUUUGCUCACAACCAAUAUGCUCGUUUCUGUUGCCACACGGUCUCCGGAUAACCUCCUAAACUCUUUUCCUGAAGAAACGGGUCACGUCUACUCAGCGUCAACUGUGCAGAAGAUGACCGAAUACAAGCCCACGACUGCUCAAGGUCCCGGAUUCAGUUCCGAAGAGAAAAUAGUCAUGACUGGGCCCAAUAAUUUUGUCUGGCCGACGCGCCCUGCACCGUGCAGCUCACGAACCUGCUAAAUCAACCACAGCUUUUGCUGCAUGCGACGUCGCUGAGAUGAUCAAAAUAUCUUUCUAUAUCUGCCAUUUUCUCUGUAUUGUCGAACUGCUGAUGAACUAUGGUCGGAACGCUUAAAUAAAAAGCAAAGGAAGAGUGAGAGAGACACAAAAUUCUUGUUUUACGAUCUUAUCACCACUCGUUUACUAUGUUUCCGUUUAAUUAAA